rnacentral:misc_RNA from 1 species
AAGUCGUAACAAGGUUUCCGUAGGUGAACCUGCGGAAGGAUCAUUAACACGUAUCCAAACGUUAAAACAACCCUGUGAACCUUCAGCGUGUUCUUGCAGGACAUCAAAACAGCAAUCCCGAGUAAAUCAGGCGCUAAAGAAUUACAGAUUUUGAUUUUGGGAAGUUCUGUGUGUACGUGGACGCUGCAAUUGAGCGCUAGAUAAGAUCAAUGUUCAGGGUGGCGCAGUCAACGAUCGCUGUAGGUCCACACGACCGGCGACCGGGGUGGAGGCGAAAGCCCCUACGUCAUCCCUAUGUACCCUCCGGGACUUGGCGAAAGCUGACUCCGUCAUAAAUCGAACAACUGUUAACAAUGGAUAUCUUGGUUCUC